rnacentral:lncRNA from 1 species
UGUGAUUCGAUCACAUAUUAAAUUUCAGUAUAAAAUUCAGUAUGUGCUCAAUUUUAGCAUAUGAAGUAGAUCUUUGUGUUCUUUAUUUUAUGCAUGCAUGAUUUAAAUUAAAAGAUAUUUUAAUUUUUAUUUUAUUAUAUUAUUUUAAAAAAAAUUGAAACACACAUGCAUGUCUAGACACGAAAUUCCAAUAAGUGGUUCCCCC